rnacentral:rRNA from 1 species
UGGGGAAUAUUGGGCAAUGGGCGAAAGCCUGACCCAGCAACGCCGCGUGAGGGAAGAAGGGUUUCGGCUCGUAAACCUCUGUCCUAUGGGACGAAGGAAGUGACGGUACCAUAGGAGGAAGCCCCGGCUAACUACGUGCCAGCAGCCGCGGUAAUACGUAGGGGGCGAGCGUUGUCCGGAAUGAUUGGGCGUAAAGGGCGCGUAGGCGGCCUGAUAAGUCUGGAGUGAAAGUCCUGUUUUCAAGAUGGGAAUUGCUUUGGAUACUGUAGGGCUUGAGUGCAGGAGAGGUUAUCGGAAUUCCCGGUGUAGCGGUGAAAUGCGUAGAGAUCGGGAGGAACACCAGUGGCGAAGGCGGGUAACUGGACUGCAACUGACGCUGAGGCGCGAAAGUGUGGGGAGCAAACAGGAUUAGAUACCCUGGUAGU